AUUUAGUUUCCUUAAAACACGCACACACACACACACACACACACACAAAACCCUGUGACUGCAGUGUUAUAUUACUAUGCUAUCUUUAGCUGAUGCUAUUCAUUGAGGCUGGAAAAAUACAAGCCAGUGCAUGCAUUAAUACUUAGUUAGACCACAGAGAGCUGGCAUUCACUCAAGUGCUAAACAGGACACGAGGGUCUGAUUUGAAGCCCCUUGUGGAAGGGCGUUUUCUGUCCUGUGGUGUGCAUUCUCUACCAAAUCGAGCAUGAGAUCUUUUGCACGACGUGCAAUUUGCAUCCACCUUCCCUUCUGACUCACGUUGGCAGAUAAACUGUCCCCAGACCCUGCCACACAUGGAAGAGACAGCUCAGGCCAAAUACAGGCAUGAUUUCUUUGCCAAGUGAAUCCACGGAUGACCCUGCAGCAUACCUGGAGCAUGUGGGCGCUGAUCUGGUGAGAAUGCCAUCAAAACCAUGGGGCACAGGAGAGACCACGUGAAAGAGGUCAUUUGAGAAAUUUUGAAACUCUCUCUAUUGUGAAAAAUGCCUCUGCUUAGAGGUUACUGGAAAGUUGCUCCUCUGAUCCAUGUCACUGCAGCAAUGGUAGCUGUGGUCACAAAAUGGGUUGAGGAGGCCCAUACCACCAAGGUCUAAGAGAAUCAGAGGGCCAAUGGCAACCUGGGCAUGGCUGCAAGUUCACCCCAUUUCCUCUGAGCAGUGCUGAGGGGCACCCAAAGCAUCUCCCAGAGGGAACUGUCCACUCCGCCCCUUCCUCUUCAGAGAUGUUGGGUUUGCAUCUCUUUGAGCAGAAAGGUUGUCACCCCAGCCACUCUCUUUUGGACCUUGGUGCUGCAGCUGGUGCCACACCACUUCACCAGCCUGAUUUCAGGCCCCCCCCCCCCACAUGUGUGUCUCUCUUCAGCCCCAGGACUUUCUCCUAAGCCUCAGAGAGUAGCUUUGUCCAGGCACACACAGCCCUGGAAUGGGGAGCCUCAACCAAGGGGAGCUGGAAGUCAGCGGGAACUGCCCAGCUUUCGGCCCCUGGGAGAGAGGACUAUGAGGCGUAUUCCCUCCUCAGAAGACCCCCAGCAGAGCUGAGCCCAGCAGUAACCAACCCGAUAACAUAGUCCAUGUUGACUUUCUUCCCUUUUGGUCUUCUCCUAUCUGUUUCCCAAUUACUUUCCUGCAAUUACUUUCCAUGGACGCUACCUGCAUUCACACGUGUGUUUCAGGCUUUGCUUUCAAAAUAACUCAAAUUAAAACAGACACCACCCCAGUGUCCUUGAGGUCAGGCCUAUGUACAUGUGAACAAAAUGACCAGUGGGCCAGGUCACUUCUGCUCAUUCUCCAUCCAUCAAUGAAGUGGAAGAGAAGGUCAGUCAGUGGUUAUUUGAAUACACAACAGGCCCAGUUAUUUGAAUGAAUGGUGGUCUUGUCUUUAUUUUUAAUGCAAUGGGAGGAUGAGUGUUGCUUCCUCUGAGUAGUUUUCCUCCCUGCAUGCGUCCCAUUGGAUUUGAGAUGUGCUUCGGGAAUCUCUUACUCAGGACCUCCCCUUUCACUCAGCUUCCACCAUCUCUCCCUGAAAGGCUCCAGCUAUCCCAGUCAGUGGCCAGAACUCUCUGAGAACAGUAAAGGGUGUCUGACAUCUCUCUGACACCAGCCUCUCUUCAUUGAGCACUGCCCCAAACGGCAGCUUCACUCCUGCAGCUGCUGGUUCUUCUGCUGGAAACAGAAGGCUGUCACAGUACUGCUGCUCCUCUGGCCAGUGGAAGGCACAGCCAUCCCAUUAGAAAGCACAGAAGUGGUAGAGCCGUGCCAAGGUGAUCCUUAAACUCAACCAAGUGCCCCAGAAGUAGGUAACACCAGCCAUGAGUGGAAGUCAGCAAAUGUAGUCUUCCCCAAAGAUAAUACCAUAAUGAUAGUAUUAAAAUGGAUGUUGCCUGGAGGAAAAUUCAUUUAAAUGUUUUUCUGGCUUUAUUGAGGCAUUAUUUACAUAUAAUAAAACUCAGGCAUUUAAAAUACACACACGGUACAGUUAACUCACACUGUAGUGCCUAGUGUGGUGAGAUUUGGUUAUUUUACAGAGCAGCCAUCACCACAACCAAGAUCUGGAACAUUUUUAUCGCCCUAGAAAUUUCCUUGAGUCCCUUUGUAGCCGAUCCCCUCUCCUGGCCCCAGCCCCUGGCAACUGUUAAGGACCUUUAUGCCGCUAUAGCUUUGCCUUUUCUAGACUUUCACGUAAAUGGAAUCAAGCGAUAUCUAAUGCUGUGUGUUUGACUCCUUCACCGAGCAGACUGGUUUUGCACUCCAUUCAUCUGUGGCUUGUGUUAAAGCUGUGUUCCUUUCUACUGCUCAGUAGUUUCACUGUAUAGAUAUCCCGACUUUAUUCAUUUAGCAGCUGAUGGGCACCUGAGUUCUUUCCAGUUCUUGCUUAUUUGAAUAGUGCUGCCAUGAACGUUGGCAUUUGAGUCUUUGCAUAAACUUAGCAGACAUUUCUCUUGGGUAAAUAUCUGGAUGUGGAUUUCUGGGUCAUGAUUAAGUACCUACGGCCACACAGUUUUCCAAAGUGGUUGCGCCAGUUUGCCGGUAGUAUAGAAGAGUUCCUGUGGCUCCUCCUCCUCAUUAACACGUGAUAUACUCAAAUUUUUUUUUUAA